rnacentral:lncRNA from 1 species
CGGGUGUCAUGGAGGUGAUGUUUAAGAUAAGAUUCACGUCGAUGGAAGGAUAGGCCUUAUAUAUGUAUUUUUAUUAGUUAUGGAAUAUAUUUCCACUGCAUACAAAUGGAGUUGAUUGAUUGAGAUAUUAUUAAUAUACGUUGGGGUGGAGGACUAGGCUCACUGAGUAAACUAAUUACUCAUGACUCAUUUGUGAUGCAGGUAACCAGUAGACGGGAGACCUUACUCUAGGACGGGAAGGAACAUCAUUAGCCAGCUGUAGUUUUAUUAUCCUUGCAAAGGCGUUCUGAUAUUUCUUAUGUAUAAGAUUUGUUGACCAAAAACCUCGAGGUUAAUUUAUAACAAAUUUUGUAAGAUGCUUUUGAAUGAUAUGUAAAGAAUGUUUUUAAAGUGUGGGUUCCAUAUGAUAUUAGUCCUUGUACGGACGAACUAACUAUCGGGUAUUGCUUUUUCGGGUUGAAAAGCCUAGAGUGAUAUCUGAUAGGAGCAUUGGUGUUCUUUGGUUGUUGGUCUAUGGUGAUCGGAAGUAUUCUGAGAACCUCGGAUCGACCAUCGAGAAACAUCGAACGUGUCAUUUCCGGUCAUCUAUGAUCGGGGGUGUCACAAGAGGGGUUAGUCGGACAUGAUUAGUUAAGUUGGUGGAUGAAUGGAAUUGGUUUUUAAACUAGGAUAUUGCAUAGAAAGUACUUCUAAGUUAGGAUUGACUUGAUGUGGUUUGCAAUAUUGUUGAGGUGAUGAUGGUAAGUUCUUAAAUUGUGUGUGUCUCUGCUAUUUUCAAACCACUUCCAGAGAGACUACUUGUUGUUUUGCUUGAGGACAAGCAAAAGAGUAAAUCUGGGGUGUUGAUAUACCAUGGAUUUUACCCACUAUUAGC